rnacentral:lncRNA from 1 species
CGCAUGUUUUUUAAUCCCACCCAGAAAUGACAAACAAGCUCCCUGAUUGGCCAGUUGCCGGCCAGUUGGACUUGAGCAGUCGCCAUGGUGGUAUCGGGGACUCGGCUGGCAUCGUUAGGUGUUGAAUUAUGUGUUUCGUUGUGCUAGAUAUUGCCAAUUCGCUUUGAUAUUUGAUAAAUAACGUUGGCUCAUUCUUUGGUGACCUUGCAUACUAAUACGACGAUAUUUUGAUACCGAUUAUUAUGCAUCAAACAUCAUGAGACAAAUGUGGCGAUUUCCACACCCUUUUGCAGUGCCCCCUCCCCUUGUGUAGUGAGUUAACAGGCUUGUAAGAACCAAGUGAACCAUUUUUUAGUCAAGUGGUCAUGAUCGUCCCUACAUCUAAUGGAUAAUAGUCUUGCGCAAACUUAUAAAGUACUGGAGGAAGAAGAAGUUACGAUUUUAGAGUACGCAAACUUGAUAUUAAAAAAUCUCAGGUAUUUUGGCUAUAUAAAGUGAGAAGAAAAGUUCAAUUGAUCAUUAUUUAUUACAAUUGCAAUAAUGAUAAUAUCAUGAUAAUUGUACUGUCAGGUAAUGAUAAUAGUCAUGUCACGUCAUGCCACUAACCAGGCACACAGACACAACACAUUUUCAUCUUUAUGUAUCUAGGCAUAAGGUAUUACAGGCAUGUUUUUGCACACCUCUCAUGUGCGAGUGGGCAUGGCCUCCUUCAUAAGCGUAGGAACCAUGGGUGCAAGGGUGCAGCUGCACCCACAAUAUUUAUCCAGUGGGUGCAGACAAUGUAUUCUGCACCCACAAUAAUCUGAACCAAAAACCCCUUUUUCAUCAACACUACUUCCCAUGCAGCACGGCAAAUUCAGGAUAUGUUGCCUACUAUCCAUCUUUCGAAGCAUUUGCUACUGUGAUCAGUGAUGGUCUUCCAAACUUACAUUUGUGCUGAAAAAAAGGGAAAUGGAGCAUGUGAUUGAACACAUACCGAACCGAUGACCCACUGUCAAAAAUGUUAGCCCGAUAUCUUCGAAAAUGGCUAAGUUGGCCGCUUUUACUUUUUGCGGUAGUCAAUAUUGACAAUAUUAGCCCUCGAAUGUGUGCAGCGUUUUCCGCAGCUUCUAAUGUGUAGGGGGAGGGGGAGGGGGUCGGUCGGACCCCCUGCCGUUCGGCCCCUGAUCGAGCUAGAGCUUCGUGGAAAAAACGAGGGUGUUGCCCGUGACGAGAGGAAGCCGAUGAUACCCAAUUUUAAGGUCCUACUUCAUUGGUUGACCUUCCAGGUCAGGUCAAUAUUCCAAAAGUCGGGAAAAUCGGGACCUGCUAGAACUGCGUAAAGUGAAGCUGUUAUCGGGUUGUUCGGGGUGCUGAUCACGAAUAUCUGAUGUUAGUUUUGAUCACAGAUGAUUUCUUCAUGCAUUUAGGCCAGAUCGGGUCAGGUCAGGUCAGGUCAACCAUUAGGCGUCCUACCGGCUAUCCAUAGUAGGUGUCAACUACCACUGACGGCGUCGUAGCAUGUCACGAAAGCACUAAAACUACUUCGUAAACUUGUUGGUAAGAAGACAUUGUUUCAAGUCCACAAACGACAAAACAGUGCAAUUCAAAUCUUUAUAUCUAUUUAUAUCUAUUUUUUGUUUACUUCGUAAAUGUUCAAAUGGAUGCUAAAUUCGAAAUCAGCCCUAUAAACUACCCUAGAAACAUGUAAAACUCGAAAAAGUGAACCGAGGUCAUCAAAGGUCAAUGACCUGACCUGACCUUCAGGUUAUCUUCACACCCACCGUGAUGCAUGGGAAGAACAUCAUUUCACAUGUUUGGACGUCUACAAUCACAAAAAGACUGGAAACGCGCGGAUAAUGUGAGCUGACAUACGCCAAAUCGCGAUUCCGGCCGAACAUGGUCUCGAGAAUCAGGUCACUGGUCAAAGGUCUUUUGGGUCAGGGUCAUGAAAUUUUUAGAGUAGGUGUAAAACUGAUCAACUCGAGGGUACUCAAAGUUUCGUCGCGAUCGGCCGCUUUUUGCGCGAGUUAUUUGCGAACAACCAUGGGGGGGGGGGGGGUCAUCCGACCCCCCUACACAUGCGAGGGUCAAUGCUUCCAAAUGCACUUAUCGGUUGGUACCUUUUCGACAUGGUACACCCUCAAAGCUCGUAACGAGCCUUCGCUCGGGUGUCGCCCCCCCCCCCCGCUUCACCGGCCAUGGCUGGAUUUCUGCACCCAUGCACCCACAAUGUUCCAGCCGUUCCUACGCCCAUGGCCUCCUUCACAGUUAAGUUUUGGCUGAUUGUGCUCAAAUUUUGUAAGUACCUACAUGUAAAGGGAUGUAGAUACAGUUAGUCGGGCACUCUUCUUAAUUCAGUUUUGUGCACCACUUCCUGCUUUCACCAUGCUGUGCCCACUCUGCUUUACAGUGGACAGCUGCUUCUGUGACACACAUUAAUCUUGCGUUCAUUGAAACACUUAGUUUUGAGUGUUUUGACUCAGUUUUGUUGUAACGUUACCUGUGUUUAUAUUUUCAAUAACUUGUUUUGGGCUGCUAGUUUGAUUUGUUUUUGACAUCAAGUAAGAUUUGAUUUUUGUUUCUGAGAUUCCAAUGUUAUUUGUGGCAAAUAUUUUCCAAAAAUCCUCCAUCUAAAGCUUCAACUGAAUUCUAAAAUGCCUGCAUUUUCUACCAGAAACAUUAUCAUUGAUACCUCCUACAAUAUUUCAUUUUGUCACCAGGUACCUGGACUGGUGAAAAGUGAAAACUGAAAUUCAUUCAUGUCACCAUUAUCCUACGACCUACCCCUAAAUGGAAUUGAUCUUGUUUCACAAAUGAGUUGUACAUUGUACAAUGUCUAUCAGCUGAUGUCUAUUGUCUAUCUCUCUUUCAGCACAGAAGAUCCUCAGUCAUAGUUAACAAAAUGGAAAAAAAUUAGCUGUGUUUUUAAGAUUCCAGUUGUGGCCAUCAACUGCUCAGGAAAGCAGCCCAGAAUCACUUCACAACAGGUUUCCAAAGGAUCAUCAUUCAUCAGCACAGAAGGGUGGGAAAGAGAAGGCUCAAGGCUGUUCAAAUUCUGAAAAGCCAGAGCUGCAAAGGAGGUCAAAGAUGCAGUGCAGUUGGCCCACUCAGUAGAGUUUCACUAGUGGUUCUGAUGUGGACUGAAGAUUACACGCUGGAUUGAAGUGGCCGGUCUGGAGCAGCUGUAGUUCAUCAUUCUUGCUGAUUGUGGACGAGUAAGAGCCCGUGUUGGCCCCGAUCGGCGAUCGCUGGCCAAAGCCCACCACCAGUUUGGUUAUAGGCGUUGGCUGUGAUAUCUAGUGUCGCCUAUGUGUGAAAAGGACAAGUUGAUAACAAAACCUGUUGCGCCAUGUUAUUAACCCGCGCCCGGGUGGCCCUCAGCCAACUUGGGGGGGGGGGGGGGAGGUGUAUUCGGCCACACCAGGUUAUCUUGGAAUGUAGCAAAGCUGGAAAGACGCAGUAAAAUCAAUCUAUAGACCGCUAUUUUUCUUCAGAAUCAUACAGGUCAUUUUUGAUCAGGUCAUCGCUGAGGUCACUGGAGGUCACCAAAAGUAAAAUGAUGACGAAUUUUGGCCCCCGAUUUUGACAACUUCACAAAUUGGUUCAUAAUUCGAGAACCAAAGAAGCUACAGCGCCGCGGAAAAGCGAAUUCGAUAGCUCUUUCGAAAAUCUUUCAGGUUCUCAGAUUUGAGCUAAGGUCAACUAGGGUUAAGCCUCCAAAGGGCAAAAACUGAACAAUCGGCUUGCUUCGGAAGUCGUCUUUUCUUUAAAUUUUUUUAAACUGAUACCAACCUUUUAUUACGUUGAUUUUACCGGCACUGCGUUUCUCUCGUCUUCUUGGCCUAACAAGGUCAGCUUAAUAAAUUUGACCUCAGGUCAAUGUCGCAGAAAAUGCCAUUUUGCAUGUCAUUGAUGAUUCGUUACAUUGAAAUUGAGAUUAACAUCAGUAGCGGCGGAACACCUUCAAUUAAGGGGGCAUUGCCGACUUUUGGUCUCAUUCUUUCCAUGCAACGGCCAUAGGGCUAAUGUUAAAAUGCCAAAAUCAAAGGGGGCACGGUGCCUCGGUGCCCUCGGCCUGUUCCGCCGCCUAUGAUUAUGAUGCUUUUAGCGCUCUGGCCACAUUCCAUCUAAAAUCGAUGUACAAAAAUAAACUGUUGGGAGGCGUUACAUGACCUGAGAUGACCUCAAGAGCAUACGAUAGAUCCCGAUGUUUGAGUGCUUUUGUUUCAAAAGCAGAACAUUUCGAUUUCGAGUUCCUCAUACUGACUGAAACUGGAGACGUCGCAAAGUUGACCUGACCCUAGGUCACCACCGAUAUCAAAAUUAAAGAUAUUCAAGAUGUUGGUACUGAUUCUCUCAUGCAAUAGCUCGAGUUUCAAACUUCUACUUCAUGGUGACCUGACCUGACCUUAGGUGACAUGGGGUUACUUUUUUUCACAAUUGAUGCGAAUCGAUGCAUUAUACAUAAGCUAUACUAAGUUUCGUGUCGUUUUAUCUAUGCAAGCACAAAAUUGUCAGGUGUGGCCAAAAACGCCCCGACGGCCCACCCACCUGGGGAACGUUAAAGCAGUGAUGUAUUUUUUUCGGUGUAUUCCACGAUGCAUCGAUCGGUGUACUUGAUAAUGCAUUAUUUAUUGCUGCGUGUGUACGCUUUUCCUCUGUUCAGUGUGAUCUGUGAUAGGAAAACUACCGAUAUAUCUCCACGCGCAUGACUGAAAGAGCUGGCGUGAUCUAUAAUAUUGGGUGUCUGUUUUUGUUUGGCAUUUUAUAAAUAAUGAGUCAGC